GGGGCACAAAAUGCUGAUGCAGUUGGGAACGGAGAAGUAAGUGAUUUAUAACUAAAAUGGCCCUCUGCAGUGAAAGGUCUAUGAGAGAUGGGAGAAUUUAUUUGCUGAGUUACUAUGCAAAUUUCACAAUUAAAUCUUAACUCAGCUCCUGAGGGAACAUCGGGGAUUACUGAAAGAAAGGGGCUUUGACUCGAUUUUUAAAAAGGAAAGAGAGCAAAGAAACAGCAGAAUACCCUACAGUUGCUCGGCGCAGCCCUGCCAAGCCAAUCUCGCAGUGGGAAUCACCACGGAGAGAAUCAGAAAGGACAGGGAACAGGGAAGA
rnacentral:lncRNA from 1 species